AAAACUCAAGAUGUUAAAAGCAUGCGGUUAUUAAUCAAUUGGAUUUUCUCACAAGCCGACAAAAUUUCGAUGUAGAAAUAUGAAAGAAGAAUUCGACCAAUUGCAGGCAAUAUCGGAAAACAGGAUUUCGGUAGUGAGAUUUCGACAAAAAACCCGUACUUCAAUAAACGCUCCCAAAACGUUCAUCUUUCAAUGAAGUACCCAAUAACAUAUCGAAAUGUAACAGACUCACAAAGGAUCAGGGAAAUACCGGCAAAAAGAAUGGGUGAUAUCGCUAAAUUGCUUUUAAGACAGAAGAUAAAAUGAUCUAUUUAGAAAUAGGCACUACCUAGGGACCAUGGAUGAUUACAAAAUGAUUUAUUGUAUUGUAACCGUAAAUCAAGAUUACGGCGACUCCCGUAGAUAUUUGAUAUAUCACGAAUACAUCGGCCUAGUGAACGUGUUACUGUUAACGUUAUCAUUUCACGCGGUACAAUUGUUGGAGUCAAAGUUCGCACGUCACGUGAAAAAGACGACAGUGAACGGACUAAGAGGCGUUUCUGGUACAAGCGUAACAGAACGGAUCAAUACUGAGAUACUUUGGUCGUACGACAUUUUCCUGUGAUACAAAAAAGUUUGACAGAAAAAUUCUUCUUUGCCGUUCUUUUCUUUUCCAAAAAAAAAUGGAAAAACCAUCGACGUCAACGUCCUCGCCCACAAGUGAAAGCAGCACUUACUCUAUUCAUGACCCGCCUGGGUACAUCAAGCCUUCUUUGCAAGAUAUGCUCCUCACCGACGUUAACGCUGACGAGUUGUUGACAAUCGCAAAGAUACUUCGAGUGGACUACUUGGGGCCAGCUGCAUUUCCUUGUUCCUUCCCACAAUCUGGUUUAAUUCAUGGAAAUAACAAACGACUCAUGGUCUCUCUCUCUUGUCGCAGAGAAGGAAAAAACUCAAAGGCCAUCAACAUCAUCUUCCUCAUCGACACAGGCUCCCCAAACACGUUUUUGUCAGACAAGGCUAUGGAGGCACUUGUUGGAAAGGCUGAUUGCUAUAUGAGCGGGCCGAUGGCUGUCAUGAUUCAUACGAAAAAAGUUAUCGUUUGCUAUUUAUCACCUCAUGACAAACACUUUUCGGAUGUGAAUGUGCUUGGAAUGGAUUUCCUGUCGGACAAUAUGCUUUCACUAUUUAUAAACUACGGCCAGAAAUCUUUUGAACUGACUAUGAUAUAAAAACCAUUUGUCUAUUGAUGAGAAAUUACGAAUAAUUUCAUAUGAAAAUGGUAUCAUUCGGUGCUCUAUCUAUACUACUUUAUGAAAUAAAAACCAUUUGUCUAUUGAUGAGAAAUUACGAAUAAUUUCAUAUGAAAAUGGUAUCAUUCGGUGCUCUAUCUAUACUACUUCACUAUAACCUAAUAAACCUAUGCCACAGCAUGGUGUAAGAACAGGAAAUUAUUUGUUGCGAUGCAAACUAUUGAGUAUUGAUAGCAAACCUCCGCGCAGAGCUUUGACUGGUUCCGAGCAUAUAUCGAUAUCAAAUCCCUGCCGUUAUAACCAACCACGUGAUGAAAGCCAAGCUAGUACAAAACUUUUCCGGUUUUAAUUUUUACUUUUCUUUAUUUAGUUUUUUUUUAAAUUAUGAACCUGAAAUUAUACACUAUUUUCGAAGUAUAACAGAAAAUGAUACUUCUUUUCAUAAUAUGAUACCUAAAUAUAACCUUCCACAUCUGGAAGGAUUUUCUUGUGAUGGCAGUGGUUAUCACAAGUAGCCGUGGGUAGAUAACCGCUGCGUGAAGUUUAAUUAAGAGCGUCAGGCAAGCCGUGACAAUAAUCGUUCGUCUUCCUCGAAGGUUACAUGUUGCCAUUUAACCCCACAACGAACACUGUGUUGCAUUUAUUUUGUCAUUGGAUUACAUGUAUAAAGGAAACUAUAAUAAAAACAACAUCAGUGUAAAUAGCAACA